GAGGAUAUAGCUCAGUGGUAGAGCGCGCACUUAGCAUGCAUGAGGUCCUGGGUUCAAUCCCCAGAACCUCC
rnacentral:tRNA from 1 species